AUGGGGGCUUCGGUUCCCAUAUUAGUGGCGCACGGGUGCGUAACGCGUAUGCAACCUACCUUCCACAGGGGGAUAGCCCCGGGAAACCGGGAUUAAUACCGCAUAACACCGUUUGAGGGCAUCCGAAGACGGUUAAAGUUUCGGCGGUGGAAGAUGGGCAUGCGUGCCAUUAGCUAGAUGGCGGGGUAACGGCCCACCAUGGCGACGAUGGCUAGGGGUUCUGAGAGGAUGGUCCCCCACACUGGUACUGAGACACGGACCAGACUCCUACGGGAGGCAGCAGUAGGGAAUAUUGGGCAAUGGCCGCGAGGCUGACCCAGCCAUGCCGCGUGCAGGAAGAAGGCCUUCUGGGUUGUAAACUGCUUUUAUCGGGGAAGAAAACGCUCUUGCGAGAGUAACUGACGGUACCCGAUGAAUAAGCACCGGCUAACUCCGUGCCAGCAGCCGCGGUAAUACGGAGGGUGCAAGCGUUGUCCGGAUUUAUUGGGUUUAAAGGGUGCGUAGGCGGCCCGUUAAGUCAGCGGUGAAAUCCCGGGGCUCAACCCCGGAACUGCCGUUGAUACUGGCGGGCUUGAGUUCGGUCGAGGCGGGCGGAACUGGCGGUGUAGCGGUGAAAUGCUUAGAUACCGCCAAGAACCCCGAUUGCGUAGGCAGCUCGCUUGGCCGAAACUGACGCUGAGGCACGAAAGCGUGGGGAGCGAACA
rnacentral:rRNA from 1 species